UGCUCAUUAGCUCCACCAUCAGGUCAGUGGAGGGAAAUACAGGCCAGAAGCCUGUUAACGAUACCCAGUCUCCUUUACCUUGGAAGGGAAAGGAGAAUGGGAUAUGGAACCAAACAGGAAAUGAAGGCUAUUCCAUGCGAGAAAUUACCAGGAAACUGAAGAUCUCGUACAAUGCUCCGUACUACUCCCUUCAAAGAGCAGCGCAAACUGGCUCUAACCACAAUAGGAAGAGAAGAAGGAGGCCAUAACUGGAUCUGGGAAGUGAUGGACUGGAUGACAUGUAGGAGGAAGAUGUGGGUGGGACCAUGGAGGCGGAGCGGACGAAUGGAGGACAGACGGAGGAGAUGGAGAGGCGAACUGUCAUACCCCACACCACAGGAAAAAACAGCCUGUAACAAGUCCCAUCCAGGAAAUGAGGGUCAUCUGGGCACUUUAACAGUGUUAACAGUGACUCGGUGCUGCCUUCCUCCUCCUGUCUGGGAGAUCUCACCCUCUCACCGCUAUUCAAGGCAUAUGGAUGACAUGUCUCUGGCAUGACCUCCAGAAAGCUUUCAUUAUAAGACAGAAUACAAAUUGUUUAAAAA